UACAGAGGUCUCAAGCGUUGUUCGGAUUCAUUGGGCGUAAAGGGUGCGUAGGCGGCGCGGUAAGUCGGGUGUGAAAUCUCGGAGCUUAACUCCGAAACUGCAUUCGAUACUACCGUGCUUGAGGACUGGAGAGGAGACUGGAAAUUUACGGUGUAGCGGUGAAAUGCGUAGAUAUCGUAAGGAAGACCAGUGGCGAAGGCGGGUCUCUGGA
rnacentral:rRNA from 1 species